UACGGAGGGGGCUAGCGUUGUUCGGAAUUACUGGGCGUAAAGCGCACGUAGGCGGCUUUGUAAGUUAGAGGUGAAAUCCCGAGGCUCAACCUCGGAACUGCCUUUGAUACUGGAGAUCUUGAGUCCGGAAGAGGUAAGUGGAACUGCGAGUGUAGAGGUGAAAUUCGUAGAUAUUCGCAAGAACACCAGUGGCGAAGGCGGCUUACUGGUCCGGAACUGACGCUGAGGUGCGAAAGCGUGGGGAGCAAACAGG
rnacentral:rRNA from 1 species